GCUUUCAAGUGAGAAAAGUACUUGCCCAAAUCGAACCCCUGUGGGGUGAGGCCAGAGCGAGUAAUUUUCACCCUAAUCCGCCUGGUUGCCUUUCUUAAAUUUGGAAAAUGAAGAGGGUCAUAAAACACUAACGGGUAGUUGUUAGAUCAGAGAUUGAAAAACCCUUCUUCUAGGGUUUUAACACUGCCAAAGCUUCAGCUGUGCCUGUCUCUUUUCGUCAGAGGAGCGUGGUUAGUGAUGCUUCAAAGCCUUCAUCCGUUCCUUUUCUUCAGCCUAAGAAUCCAAUAUCGCAUCAAUAACUUUCUGAAGUGGCAUGCAUGCAAGCAAACUAAGAGAACAAAAGGCUAGUGAUAAACAUGUUCUGGGAUCUGUUUUCCCAGUCAUAUCAGUGAUUCAGCAACAAUUUGUCUCAAGGAGUAUCUUCUAGGGCACUUGAAUUUCUUUUACUUCAGUGAUUUUCUGUUGUUUUUAUAAUUCAGGUAUUGUAAUGGUCAUGGGUUUCUUUCAUAUAGAUUCUAUACUAAUAUGUAACUUCAAGUACCUGUGAGUCAUAGCUGAAACAAAUUAUUCUUAUAAACUUUUUGGUGUAUAUAUAUUUUGAGUAUCCAGUGGUGAGCAGUUUUUUGCCUAUUUA